rnacentral:rRNA from 1 species
UACGUAGGUGGCGAGCGUUAUCCGGAAUUAUUGGGCGUAAAGAGCGCGCAGGUGGUUAAUUAAGUCUGAUGUGAAAGCCCACGGCUUAACCGUGGAGGGUCAUUGGAAACUGGUUGACUUGAGUGCAGAAGAGGGAAGUGGAAUUCCAUGUGUAGCGGUGAAAUGCGUAGAUAUUAGGAAGAACACCAGUGGCGAAGGCGGCUUUCUGGACUGAAACUGACGCUGAGGCACGAAAGCGUGGGGAGCGAACAGG